rnacentral:rRNA from 2 species
CCUAGAUAUUAGUUGCCAGCAUUCAGUUGGGCACUCUAAGGUGACCGCCCGUGACAAACCGGAGGAAGGUGGGGAAGAAGUCAAAUCAUCAUGCCCCUUAUGACCUGGGCUACACACGUGCUACAAUGGAUCGCCCAAAGGGCUGCAAACCUGCGAAGGUAAGCGAAUCCCAUAAAGCCAUUCUCAGUUCGGAUUGUAGGCUGCAACUCGCCUACAUGAAGCCGGAAUCGCUAGUAAUCGCGGAUCACCAGGCCGCGGUGAAUACGUUCCCGGGCCUUGUACACACCGCCCGUGACACCACGAGAGUUUGUAACACCUGAAGUCGGUGAGGUAACCUUUAUCAACCAGCCCCCCCAACAACCC